CUGCGAGAGCCAAUAGGAGAGCAGCGAAGCCGGCCAGGGGGACAGCCCGGCUGGGAGCGGAGGAUCAUUCUGUGCUGGUGGCUGAUGGGGAAGGAGCGGCCGCUCGGCGCUGGGCAUGGCGCUGCGUUCUGCCUUCCCGCCCCGCUCCGCUGCCCCCGCCUGCCGGAGCCUGGGGGAGGCGCCGAGGCGCGGGGUGGGGAGCGGUGAUAAAGCCGGAACCCGCCCGGGCAAGGGGUUCAACCGCCAGGAGGGAGGGAAAGUGCAGGAUGGAGAUGCCUCUUUUGCCUGCGUCGUCUGCGGAUAAACCCUAACGAAGGGGCUUGAAAACUAAGCACAGGUGCUGCUGAGAGUGGGAGAGCUGGGAGAAGGGUCAAGCUGCGUCCAGCUGAAGGUGUGAACAAAGGUGGCCCCUGGGCUGAGGCUUCACAAAGGAAGGUUUGGUCUGGAAUUGGUUUUCAUGGCACAGGGUAGAAGAAUGAGCAUUAAAAGUGUAUCUAAACAACAGCCUUUCAGACAACAGCCACGACGGGCCCCAGUGGUUUUCAGCUUUCUGUUUAUUCUUGCUUCAAGACUGUGGAUAACCCAGAGAUGGGGGCCUGGCAGCUUUGGAAACCCCUGCUUGAAAGGGCAAGGAGUUGAAGUUUCAGCCAGAGUUACUUCUCCCCAGCGUUGCCCUGUGAUCCCGGGAAUGUGGAACCAGGGAAGGUGAUUUGACCCAGGGGCUUUGGGAAGCACCUCAAGACAACAACUCCCUCUGAGAGAGGGGCAGCUGAAGAAGAGGAGAGCCUGGUAGCCAUCCUGCAGCAGCCCAUGCAUGACAUGCCUAUGCCAGGCCCAGCAGCUCCACCCUCAGCCCUGCCACCCCCUCCUGUCAGCACCCCUGAUGUUCUGCAGCCAGAAGUGUCCAGGAAACCUGCUGAAAAGGAAAAAAAACCCUAAAAAACGCUGCAGUGACAGGAAAACCUGCUCCAUCCACAGCACCACCAGUUCUGACACCCCAAAAUGACCCAGAUUAUUCCCAGUUCCUGUGUGGAUGAGUCUGCCCAGCACUGAAUGAACUGGCCUUGGU